rnacentral:lncRNA from 1 species
AAAACUGUUUACAAGAAAGCACACUUAUGCGUACAUGCACGUGAGUAAUAUAUUUGCUAUCUUUAACAGUAAGUUUAUCAUAUAUGGAUGUCCAUGUAAAAAAUAUUUUGUAGAUUUAUACAUGCUUUAAACUCAAUGUUGUGGUUUUGGCUAAGCACAUCUAACUAAAUUUGUCUAUGAACAGGAGUUGAGGCUUUGUUCCUUGACCUUUUUAUACCUUUUAAU